rnacentral:rRNA from 1 species
UACGGGAGGCAGCAUCGGCGAAUCUUCCGCAAUGGACGAAAGCCUGACGGAGCAACGCCGCGUGUAUGAAGAAGGUUUUCGGAUCGUAAAGUACUGUUGUUAGAGAAGAACAAGAGAUAAGAGUAACUGCUUGUCCCUUGACGGUAUCUAACCAGAAAGCCACGGCUAACUACGUGCCAGCAGCCGCGGUAAUU